rnacentral:rRNA from 1 species
UACGUAGGAGGCGAGCGUUGUCCGGAUUUACUGGGCGUAAAGCGCGCGCAGGCGGCACUUCAAGUCAGGUGUGAAAUCUCCCUGCUCAACGGGGAGGGUGCACUUUAGACUGAGGAGCUAGAGGACGGUAGAGGGGGGUGGAAUUGCUGGUGUAGCGGUGAAAUGCGCAGAUAUCAGGAGGAACACCGGUGGCGAAGGCGGGUCUCUGGGCCGAUACUGACGCUGAGGAGCGAAAGCGUGGGGAGCGAACAGG